rnacentral:misc_RNA from 1 species
UGACCACUCAAGCCUAGCUUGGUAUUGGGGUUCGCGGUCUCGCGGCUCCUAAAGUCAGUGGCGGUGCCGUCUGGCUCUAAGCGUAGUAAUUCUCUCGCUAUAGAGUCCGGUUGGUUGCUUGCCAAAACCCCCCAACUUCUCAC